rnacentral:lncRNA from 1 species
UUCCUUUUCCUCGUUCUUAGCACCAUUUUCCUCCAUUGGUCGGCUCAUCUUGAAUGGAGGGUUUUGGGAAGUUCUUAAUCCAACAGCUGAACCUAGUCAAACACAACGAGGGAGAAGAUUUGUGUGAUAGGGGUAGGACUACGUGAGAUUUCCCAAGCAUUCCCAUGAAGGUAAAACCAAAUUCCUCUCUGAGUUGUCGAUUAUUGCUUGUCUGCGAAUUUGAUAUGUGUUCUACUCUCUGGUGUGGAAGAAAGUUUAGACUUUUGUGUAGUCCAAGUGUUUGACGAAAUUACCAACUCAGAAUUUUCAUGUGAAGGUUAAAUUUUUCAGCCACUUUUUCUGAAUUUCUUACGAUGAUUCUUUUAGUAUUAUGUAAAUCAAUUAGUUUGUUGUUGUGAGCAUGAAGUCAUUCAGUUGAUAUGUUGAGUAUUAAGUGCUUGAAGCCAUCUUUCUUGUGAGUCAUUUCUAGGCUCUUUCGCAACAUAUGGGUUAAAGAUUGGUCAUUGCUUCAAGAUCAGCGUUUGUGAUAUUUGGGAUAUUUGGAUUCAAGAAUAUUGGUCAUUGCUAGAUUGUGCAAUUUGUAUGGUGUCCAGUUUUUUCUCUCUCACUGAUAUGCUGCUGUUCUAUUGGGUUUGAUUUUCUGCAAAUCUUGAUAUGUUUAGUGAAAUGGGUAUGGAUUCUUGGGUUUGAUUGCUACUGAUAUCUUUAGGGUGUUCAUUGUUGAAUUACUCAAGAAGUUUUGCAGUAUCCAAUUCUUGUCUUUCUCUUUCACUGAUUUUUUGCAAUUCUGUUGAGGAGUUUGUGCAGUAAUUUUCCCUUAUUACAACCUAUAAUGUGAGUCUAACCAGCUCAGUUGUUAGCAUGAAUCUACAGUAAGUCCGGUUAUAUAAUGAAGUUUGAAGAAGUUGUAAACAGUAAAUCCCACGAAGAGUAAUUCCAUGAUGUGAGUAGGUAAAUCCCACGAAGGGUAAAAGAAGUUGUUAACGGUAAAUCCCACGAAGGGUAAUUCUAUGAUGUGAGUAGGUAAAUUCCACGAAGGGUAAUCCUACAUAGAUGUUGAUUUUCUAUUGUUGAAAUUGUGAAGGCCGAUACCAUUGUUCAAAGAAGUUGUUUUUGGUAAAAUCCACAAAGGGCGAUCCCAUGGUGUUAUAGUUAAGGCCGAUGCCACACUAUAAUUUGUUAAUUUUCUAUUUUUGUAAAUAUUAAAGGCCGAAUCCAAGU